rnacentral:rRNA from 1 species
GACGGAGGAUGCAAGUGUUAUCCGGAAUCACUGGGCGUAAAGCGUCUGUAGGUGGUUCGAAAAGUCCACUGUUAAAGAUUGAGGCUUAACUUCAAAAUGCCGUGGAAACUUUCAAACUAGAGUAUGGUAGGGGUAGAGGGAAUUUCCAGUGGAGCGGUGAAAUGCGUAGAGUAUUCGCAAGAACACCAGUGGCGAAGGCGGCUCACUGGCCCGAUACUGACGCUGAGGCACGAAAGCGUGGGGAGCAAACAGG